GUGCUUGCUUCGGCAGCUCAUAUUCUAGAAUUGUAAAGAUACUGUGUGGGUUGGCAUGGCCCCUGCGCUUGGUUGCACACUCAUUUGGUGAUACUUUUCUUCUUUUC